rnacentral:rRNA from 1 species
GUCUUUUUGAGAAUAAUAUAAAGUCAAAUCUGCCCACUGAAUUUAUUUAAAGGGCUGCAGUAUAUUGACUGUACAAAGGUAGCAUAAUCAUUAGUCUUUUAAUUGAAGACUUGUAUGAAUGAUUUGAUGAGAUAUAAGCUGUCUCUUUAUUAAUAUUAGAAUUUAAUUUUUUAGUUAAAAAGCUAAAAUAAUUAUAAAAGACGAGAAGACCCUAUAGAGUUUAAUAUUUUUAUAAAUUUAAAUUUUAUAUAAAAUUUUAAAUUUAAAUUUAUAAAAAUAUUUUAUUGGGGUGAUGGAAAAAUUUAUUAAACUUUUUUUAAAAUAAAAACAUUAAUAUAUGAAUAUAUGAUCCAUAAUUUAUGAUUAUAAGAAUAAAUUACCUUAGGGAUAACAGCGUAAUUUUUUUUUUUAGUUCAUAUAAAAAUUAAAGUUUGCGACCUCGAUGUUGGAUUAAGAUAAAAUUUAAAUGCAAAAGUUUAAAAUUUUGAUCUGUUCGAUCAUUAAAAUCUUACA